GACUACAGGGGUAUCUAAUCCCGUUUGCUACCCUAGCUUUCGCGUCUGAGCGUCAGAAAUGGUCCAGGAGGCCGCUUUCGCCACUGGUGUUCCUCCGAAUAUCUACGCAUUUCACCACUACACUCGGAAUUCCACCUCCCUCUACCACUCUCAAGCCCGGAAGUAUUGAACGACCUCUCCCAGUUAAGCCAGGAGCUUUCACAUCCAACUAUCCGAGCCGCCUACACGCGCUUUACGCCCAGUAAAUCCGGAUAACGCUUGCCUCCUACGUGUUACCGCGGCUGCUGGCACGUAGUUAGCCGAGGCUUAUUCUGGAGGUACCGUCCUUCCUCGUCCCUCCAAAAAGUGCUUUACGACCCGAAGGCCUUCAUCGCACACGCGGCGUUGCUGGUUCAGACUUUCGUCCAUUAACCAAUAUUCCCUACUGCAGCCCCCCGUAGG
rnacentral:rRNA from 1 species